GGUCUGCUGGUGUAGGGGUAACACAUCUGUCUUGUAGUUAAAGAAUGCUUGAGCAGGAGUCCCGUGUUCGACUCAAGGCUAGGCCA